rnacentral:rRNA from 1 species
UACGUAGGUGGCAAGCGUUGUUCGGAAUUACUGGGCGUAAAGCGCGUGUAGGCGGCCCUGCAAGUCGGAUGUGAAAUCCCACGGCUCAACCGUGGAAGUGCAUUCGAAACUGCAGGGCUAGAGUCCUGGAGAGGAAGGUGGAAUGCUUGGUGUAGAGGUGAAAUUCGUAGAUAUCAAGCGGAACACCGGUGGCGAAGGCGGCCUUCUGGACGGAUACUGACGCUGAGACGCGAAAGCGUGGGGAGCAAACAGG